rnacentral:rRNA from 1 species
UACAGAGGUCCCGAGCGUUGUUCGGAAUCAUUGGGCGUAAAGGGUGCGUAGGCGGCGAGGCAAGUCUGGUGUGAAAUCCCGGGGCUCAACCCCGGAACUGCACUGGAUACUGCUUUGCUAGAGUACUGGAGAGGGAACUGGAAUUUACGGUGUAGCAGUGAAAUGCGUAGAUAUCGUAAGGAAGACCAGCGGCGAAGGCGAGUUCCUGGACAGUUACUGACGCUGAGGCACGAAGGCCAGGGGAGCAAACGGG